GCUGAUUUCUUGUGCAAAAUCAUCUGUGUAACUGUGGUCGCAGGCGUGCACGAAUCCCCGUUUUUCACAAGAAAGCAGGGACUUUUGGAAAACCCUUUGUGAUCUGCGGCCUUAUAAGCGUCAUAUAUUAAUUUCCCCACUUUUAUCUUGAUUGCUUUGAAUUCGCGUUCACAGAUUUUGAGCGAGUGGCAUAGAAUCAAUUGAAUGUACUGUCGUCGGUACUGUGGUUAAAGGGAAUGUGACACAAUAUUAAAGGCGAUACCAGGGCUUGCCAUGAACGCACGUGCAUCUUCAUUGUUUUUAAGCAGACGAUUUUUUUGUGUUUCCUUUCCUCUUACGUGGUUCGGGUCGGUUCUGGGGUCCGUUUCCGGCCGCGCUGUGCCGUGGAAAACGCACAGGUGGGUCGGAGUCACUGAGCAUUUGAGACGACCGAGGAACAGAAAGAUGACAGCGGAGCACAAGUGGAAACAGGCGGCGAGCACAGCGCGGCGCACGCGGAGCGCAGCUGGUGUUUUUGUAAGGCGAGCAGUGACUGUUCAGCGUACUGUGUCUCCUGCUUGGUCACAGCGCUGCUCUAACUGUAUGCAAAUCCCUUCUUCCCCCCCGCCUUUCACUAGGGAAAUGACUACGGAAUUAUUUUCAGGAGAGACAAAAAAAAAUCUUUCCCAUUUGACACAGAGGUGAAAUCCAAGCUUCGGAUCGCGGUCAUGCGCCCCAGGGCCCCUUUGUAAACACUGGGAGGUUUCCUGCUGCCAAGAAUAGAAUCAUUUCUCAAAACGCACCCCGGGGUAGAU
rnacentral:lncRNA from 1 species